GGCAUCAUGGUGCAGUUGGCUAAAGCACCUGCCUGGGAAACAGGAGGCCCUGGGUUCAAACCCCAGAGGUGCCU
rnacentral:tRNA from 1 species